CUUCCGCAGCCCGCUUCGGCAGCGGCUGGGACCUGGAACAAAGAGGCCCUGGUAGCCAAUGGCAGCGGGACAGCGCCGGGUAGUGGCCAAUCAGCGCGCGCCGCACGCACCUUCGCAGCCUGAGCGUGCAGCUAGCAAGAGGCAAAGAGAAGUCUUGGAGCUCCUUAGGCAUCCAAGGGAAGAGCACUGGGCCCUGGUUUCACUAUUGGUGAAGAUGUCCAUUUCUCAAACGCUUUUCUCCAGAGUCCUGAACACUGCCAAGGAAUCUUCUCUCACAUCCUCAAUGCCAACGAAGGCUACUACUACAUUGUUUUGUGAGCACUCAACACCAAAACAUGAGGCUCACAGGCACUACUGCAGAAGUAGGUGGUGUCCUUGUUUGGGAAACAGAGUUGCUUUGGUCCUACUAAGUGGAGUAAGGCGAGGCUGCUCUUGCUUCUUGUGUAGUCUAGUUUCAACCUCUGGUCUCACAGAAGCCUGGGCCACCAAGAACCCAAACUAUUCUUUCUUUCAGUAGCUAUUGCUAUUGGAUUAUCGGGGCCUGGAAGACCCUAGGGAUUCAUUUACUCACACAUCCUACAGGGAUCUGUAGGGUUUGGUACAGAGCUUGUGUCCCAGUAAAUUUUCCAGGAUGUGAAACUGAGGAAAAGAAGAUUUUGAUUUAGGUAAAUAAGCAUGUUCUUUUGGAGGAAAGAAGUUAAAUUAUCUGUCUCUCUGUGAGCACUUGUGAGAGCAGGUUUGCUUAGAGCCCAAAAUAGGUUGGAUCUUCAGGGGUUGGAGUUCCAGGCCACUGUGAGCCUCUUGACUUGGGAUUUGGGAACUGAAAUGAGGUCCUCUGCAAGAGCAGCAGGAGCUUUUAACAACAGACCCACCUCUCCAGCCUCAAGUAAUUUUCUUCUGUUCCUACAAUAUAGAAAAUGUUAAUGGCUAGGUAUCAGGUGUCCUCCUAGUCCCACAUCUACAUAUGCAUAUGUAUGUCUUACUAUAUGUGCACGUGAUAUUAAUAAUAAAAUUUCCAUAUAAUGCA